GCUGGCCUUUUCAUUGGAUGUUUUUUUUCCAAGAGAGGUUUCUCUGCGUGCUUGAGGUAUAAUGCAAGUACGGUCGUUUUAGGUUUUACCAACUGCGGCUAAUCUUUUUUGUACUGAGCGUAUUGGAACGUUAUCGAUAAGAAGAGAGCGUCUAGGCGAACAAUGUUCUUAAAGUUUGACCUCAAAUCAGGUAGGAGUACCCGCUGAACUUAAGCAUAUCAAUAAGCGGAGGAAAAGAAACCAACCGGGAUUGCCUUAGUAACGGCGAGUGAAGCGGCAAAAGCUCAAAUUUGAAAUCUGGUACCUUCGGUGCCCGAGUUGUAAUUUGGAGAGGGCAACUUUGGGGCCGUUCCUUGUCUAUGUUCCUUGGAACAGGACGUCAUAGAGGGUGAGAAUCCCGUGUGGCGAGGAGUGCGGUUCUAUGUAAAGUGCCUUCGAAGAGUCGAGUUGUUUGGGAAUGCAGCUCUAAGUGGGUGGUAAAUUCCAUCUAAAGCUAAAUAUUGGCGAGAGACCGAUAGCGAACAAGUACAGUGAUGGAAAGAUGAAAAGAACUUUGAAAAGAGAGUGAAAAAGUACGUGAAAUUGUUGAAAGGGAAGGGCAUUUGAUCAGACAUGGUGUUUUGUGCCCUCUGCUCCUUGUGGGUAGGGGAAUCUCGCAUUUCACUGGGCCAGCAUCAGUUUUGGUGGCAGGAUAAAUCCGUAGGAAUGUAACUUGCCUCGGGAAGUAUUAUAGCCUGCGGGAAUACUGCCAGCUGGGACUGAGGACUGCGACGUAAGUCAAGGAUGCUGGCAUAAUGGUUAUAUGCCGCCCGUCUUGAAACACGGACCAAGGAGUCUAACGUCUAUGCGAGUGUUUGGGUGUAAAACCCAUACGCGUAAUGAAAGUGAACGUAGGUUGGGGCCUCGCAAGAGGUGCACAAUCGACCGAUCCUGAUGUCUUCGGAUGGAUUUGAGUAAGAGCAUAGCUGUUGGGACCCGAAAGAUGGUGAACUAUGCCUGAAUAGGGUGAAG
rnacentral:rRNA from 1 species